rnacentral:rRNA from 1 species
GACGAACGCUGGCGGCGUGCUUAACACAUGCAAGUCGAACGGUGAAGGGACCGGUUUUUGCUGGUUCUGGAUGAGUGGCGAACGGGUGAGUAACACGUGAGUAACCUGCCCCCUUCUUCUGGAUAACCGCAUGAAAGUGUGGCUAAUACGGGAUAUUCUGCGCCUGCUGCAUGGUGGGUGUGGGAAAGAUAUUGUUUCGGUGGGGGAUGGGCUCGCGGCCUAUCAGCUUGUUGGUGGGGUGAUGGCCUACCAAGGCGGUGACGGGUAGCCGGCCUGAGAGGGUGGACGGUCACACUGGGACUGAGCCACGGCCCAGACUCCUACGGGAGGCAGCAGUGGAGAAUAUUGCACAAUGGGCGCAAGCCUGAUGCAGCGACGCCGCGUGAGGGAUGGAGGCCUUCGGGUUGUAAACCUCUUUCGCCAGUGAAGCAGGCCUGUCCCUUUUGUGGGUGGGUUGACGGUAGCUGGAUAAGAAGCGCCGGCUAACUACGUG